UCCCCAGACUCCUACGGGAGGCAGCAGUGGGGAAUAUUGCACAAUGGGGGAAACCCUGAUGCAGCGACGCCGCGUGAGUGAAGAAGUAUCUCGGUACGUAAAGCUCUAUCAGCAGGGAAGAAAAUGACGGUACCUGACUAAGAAGCCCCGGCUAACUACGUGCCAGCAGCCGCGGUAAUACGUAGGGGGCAAGCGUUAUCCGGAUUUACUGGGUGUAGAGGGAGCGUAGACGGCAGCACAAGUCUGGAGUGAAAUCCCGGGGCUUAACCCCGGAACUGCUUUGGAAACUGUGCAGCUAGAGUGCAGGAGAGGCAAGUGGAAUUCCUGGUGUAGCGGUGAAAUGCGUAGAUAUCAGGAGGAACACCAGUGGCGAAGGCGGCUUGCUGGACGAUGACUGACGUUGAGGCUCGAAGGCGUGGGGAGCAAACAGGAUUAGAUACCCCGGUA
rnacentral:rRNA from 1 species